AACUUUCGGCAAUGGAUCACUUGGCUCUCGCAUCGAUGAAGAACGCAGCGAAAUGCGAUAAGUAAUGUGAAUUGCAGAUUUCAGUGAAUCAUCGAAUCUUUGAACGCACCUUGCGCCCUGUGGUAUUCCGCAGGGCAUGCCCGUUUGAGUAUCAUUAAAUCUUCAACCUCAACACCUUUGUGUUUUUGUGGCUUGGUCUUGAGGGUUUUUGCAGGCUUUUCUAAAGUCCGCUCCCUUUAAAUUCAUUAGAGAGUCUUCCCUUAGUUUGAGCCGUCUCAUUGGCAUGAUAAUUAUCUGUGUCAACGUUGGGUCUCGUUGAGCUUGCUUCUACUCGUCUUCGGACAACAGGAUUAUGGGUGCAUAUAUGCACUCAUUUUCCAAGCCUUUUUGAUCUCAAAACGGGUAGGACUACCCGCUGAACUUAAGCAUAUCGAUAAGCGGAGGCU
rnacentral:misc_RNA from 1 species